UACGUAGGCAGCGAGCGUUGUUCGGAGUUACUGGGCGUAAAGGGGUGUGUAGGCGGUUGUUUAAGUUUGGUGUGAAAUCUCCCGCCUCAACCGGGAGGGUGCGCCGAAUACUGAAUGACUAGAGUGCGGGAGAGGAAAGUGGAAUUCCUGGUGUAGCGGUGAAAUGCGUAGAUAUCAGGAGGAACACCGGUGGUGUAGACGGCUUUCUGGACCGUAACUGACGCUGAGACACGAAAGGCGUGGGUAGCAAACAGGG
rnacentral:rRNA from 1 species